AUGUAUUUCGCAAGAUUUCGCAAUAUCAAUUGCGCGCUGCCUGUCAAGCGGUGCCAGCUCGCGCGCUUUGCCCGCUCUCGACCGAGAAUUAUCGCCCGCGAGAGGCAUUUUACGUUAUUUAAGACUAUGUAAUUUAAUAAAGUGACGGCCUCGCGAUGCUUCGUUCCACGAUUCUCAGGGACGAGCCGCGAAUUCGAUUCGGUCUUCGCGUAUCGGCCGCGUUCCACACAGGGUUCAGGAAAUUACGGUCCCGUGGCGGCCUUUUAACGGGCCUUUUCAGCGUGAAAUUAUUCCCUCCGACAUAGGAACGCCGGUGAUCGACUCGAUGGAUCGGACUCUCGAUACGAUCUCUCGUGGAUCGACGGUGUUUGUGCUCGCCUUUCGAAAGGGUUUCUAAGACGUUUUGGUCAUGAGCGUGGAACUGAUCGUACCACAGGCUGUUUUAAUUGGGAGAUAAGUGAAACAGCACGGAGAAAUAGUACCGGGGUUUGAUACGGUGUGAUUUGCUGAUUUAUGAGGGAUCAGUUCAUCUAAAAUUCAACUGGCUAAAUGAACGUGAUUCGCUGUAUAACGUACGCUGGAUGUAUUGACAGAUAUUUUAAUAGAUCGUGACUGCGCGGAAUGGUAGAAUUUAGACAGAUGGUCAGUUAUUUGAUAGUUCGGUAGUAAUCAACUUGGAAAAUGUUUUCUUGAUUUGUUCAUCUAAAGUAGAGAGUUAUUAUAAUUUGCUAACUUAUAGAUGCCCGUUUUUUUUUAUAGUAGAUUGUUUUCUCCAUCGCUUAAUCAAAAAUCCAUCCGGUGUAAAUAAUUUUUGAUCGGAUCUAAUUUUGAAAUCAAGUAUAAGACAUGGAUUUAAACUCCUAAAAUGGAAGUGGUCCUAAAACCUGCCUUUCCUUUAUCGUGAUAUUCUUGUCUCAGCCAAGUAGAUGUCCUGUUUCGUCUAUGGACCGCCUUUUGCAUUUAUUUGAACUGGUAUCGACCGGUGGCGCUUCCACUAGCCUCGUUUGCAUGUUAUACCGAAUAUCGUGGCUCCGUUUCUCUUAUAGAACAUCAAUCAUUCGGUCGAUGGGUCACUGGACACAAUUCUAAAUUAACCGGUUUUGCAAUGUUGGCGCCACUCGUCGUCGCGAAUCUGUGGCCCAAUUUUGCGCUGAAGAAUCAAGGAUUCUUUAAGAAAAUUAUAAUCAAUUAUACGGUAUAUGAUAUAAACAAAACGCGUAUAAAAAUAUACUAUGUAGUAUGUACUACAAACUGUAUCACAAAAAUCUUAUCCCAACACAAAACCUAUAUUUAUCGCCUCUACUGACAAAUCACAUCAAUUCAAUCCAUCACACAGAGACUCAUCCAAAGGACAGAUUUACAAUGACGUCUAAUCGCUUCCAGAAAAUCUCUCCCCUACCACUUGACCCACUGCUCUCCAACUAGAAGUUUCAUCACGACACCAUUAGAAUAAACAAAUUCUAAUUCAUCGUGUAAAAAUUCCACGCACAGAUAAUCGACACCUCCGAUGUCCGAACUGUCUCACCUCGUUCCUUUUGCUUACGUCAGCCAAACGAUUCACUCGCGAUCAAUCGAUGGGGACAAUCUGCAAUCUGGAUGCAGAUCUCCUCUCCGUGCAUCCGGCAGAACACGUCGAUUGGUAUUUAGGCCUCGCGUUACAUAACCUUUUCUUGUCAUCGUGCGGCCGCCAAAGCAACGGAUAAAAAAACUAUUCCGGGAGGCGAGCGGGGGCGGUAGCGUAUCAUCGUUGUGACAUUGGGACAUUGGUUUUCCGUAUGCGAGUCUCGUUCAACCGGACCCGAGCAACCUCUCUAUCCUUCUUCCUCUAUGUGUUUACGAGUGUUUCACUCUCUUGUUCUUUCUCUUUCUCCGUCCAUCAUGGAUAGACGCUUCUACGCGGUUGAAAUACGGAGUUCCGCGCGUCAAAAACGACUGGUUCUGCCUAAUACGUGGCCAGGAACGAGGAACGUGCUACGAGCAUCCGCCAAUUGCGAAAUGCAGGAAUUUAAAACAGCAUUCCCGGUAAGGUCAGCCGGCAAACCGGGGUCAUUGGUGUAAUUACUGAACACGAAAAUUUGUGGAUAAGUUCGUGAAUUUUUGGGAUUUGGGACAAGUUAGGAAUUGUAGGAAUUAUGCGAAUGAUAAGACACGAAGCACAGAGUAACGUUGAUGUUGAUAUGAGUUUAAAUUUUAAGUGGAAAUAUCGAUGUUCCAAUUUCUUGACAUACUUUACAUGCAACUUGGCAUGUGUUACUAUAACAAAAUAUCAUUCGAGUAUUCAGUUGUUAAAAAUAUUAAACAACCAACUCAACAUUUUUUUGUAUUUAGUUUAAUUUGUUCAGUGGGAUGUGUUCAUCCAAAAUUCAGACCUUCGAAUCGACUUAAAAAUUAAUCGGACGACAGAAAAUCCUUUGAAUGCAAAAUUUAUAUAUCUGGAGCCUCGUCGAUCAAACCUCUAGACCCACAUAGGAAGUCCAUACUGCGAAAACCGACUAAAAGGAUGUCAAAAAUCACUUGAGCGAUGAUCAAUUAAAGAUAGAGUGUACAACGAAAGUUCAGUGAGCCUUUUAGUCGUGCGAUUAUUAUGCAAAUUCGCUGUCUCGUUUAUCGAGGUAAUUAUGCAUUGAUCAUGGCCUGA